rnacentral:lncRNA from 1 species
UAGAUCCUCGAGAGCAAAGCCAUUACAUUGGACAUCAUGUUUAAAGAUUGCAGAAGAUGUUGCCCAAGGCUUGUACUACAUUCACCAAACAUCGUCAGCAUUAGUCCAUGGAAACCUUAAAUCAACUAACAUCCUCCUCGGACAUGACUUCGAAGCUUGUUUAACUGAUUACUGCCUCAGCGUCUUAACAGAUUCAUCUUCUUCUUCUAAUGAUGAUGAUCCGGACUCUUCCUCUUACAAAGCCCCUGAGAUCAGAAAAUCAUCUCGUAGACCAACUUCCAAAUGCGACGUCUACUCGUUUGGUGUCUUGAUCUUUGAGCUUUUGACCGGUAAGAACGCGUCCAGGCAUCCGUUUAUGGCGCCUCAUGAUAUGCUUGAUUGGGUUAGAGCAAUGAGAGAAGAAGAGGAAGGAGCAGAGGAUAAUAGGCUUGGGAUGAUGACUGAAACAGCUUGUCUUUGCCGUGUGACGUCGCCCGAGCAAAGACCGACGAUGAGACAAGUGAUCAAGAUGAUUCAGGAGAUUAAAGAGAGUGUUAUGGCGGAAGAGAACGAUCCUUUCCAGUGAAACCAAUCUCGUAGGGCUUCCUCCGACCAGUUUUCCCAAGGGAGGGGGUUAAUUUAGUCAAAAAGGAGAAUAUAGAUGCGUAAAUGUAAUUACGGGAUCCACUUCAAAGCCCCAAACUCUCCCCUAGUCCAAACGGACAAAGAGCUUUGCAAAAAAAAAAAAAAAAAUGUCACUGAAGUUUUUUCUCUUCUUCCUCCUCCUCCUCCUCUUCCUCCAUGUCUCCGCCGGAUUCUCAUCAUCGGAGCCGAACUACUUCAACUCCUUGCUUCCUUCCGACGCAGUCGCUCUACUCUCUUUCAAAUCCACCGCCGAUCUCGACAACAAGCUCCUGUAUUCCCUCACCGAGCGUUACGACUACUGCCAAUGGCGCGGCGUCAAAUGCGCACAGGGCCGCGUCGUUCGCCUUGUCCUCUCCGGCGUCGGCCUCCGUGGCUACUUCUCCUCCGCCACUCUUAGCCGCCUCGACCAGCUCCGAGUCCUGAGCCUCGAGAACAACUCCCUCUUCGGCCCCGUCCCCGAUCUCUCCGCUCUCGUUAACCUUAAAUCUCUCUUCCUCAGCCGGAACGAGUUCAACGGACCUUUCCCUCCUUCGAUUCCUUCCCUUCACCGGUUAAUGAUCCUCUCUCUCUCCCACAACAACUUCACCGGUCAGAUUCCAACUCAGAUAACCGCUCUCGACCGGUUAACUUCAUUAAAUCUCGAGUCUAACCGCUUUAACGGCACGCUCCCGUCGCUUAACCAGUCGUUUCUGACGUCCUUCAACGUCUCCGUUAACAACUUAACGGGAGUCAUCCCCGUUACACCGACUCUGUCUCGAUUCGACGCGUCGUCGUUUAAGUCCAACCCGGGGCUGUGCGGGGAGAUCAUCAACCGAGCUUGCGCUUCUUCACGCUCUCCCUUCUUCGGGUCGAGUAACAACAAAACGUCGUCGUCUUCUUCCUCCUCGCAGGCUCCGUUGGGGCAAAGCGCGCAGGCGCAGAACGGAGGAGCGGUGGUUAUCUCUCCGGUUGUUUCGAAGAAGAAAGGUAAAGAAAAUGGGUUAGUACUGGGAUUCACCGUCGGUCUCGCGUCGCUCAUCGUCCUCGGUCUCUGCCUCGUCGUCUUCUCUCUAGUGAUAAAGAAACAAACCAAAGACGAGAUUUACGAACCGAGUCAAAAAGGAGACGCGUCAUCCUCCUCUCACCAGAAUCAAGCUCUGAGUACAAGAGCCGUACCAGUUUUGAAUCCGAACUCAAACUCAAGCUCCGUGGAGAAGCUUCAGUUUCGAGCCGCCGCCGCCACGGAGCCGCAGAGCCGAGUCCCAAACAGCGGGAAUCUGAUCUUCUGCGGCGGGGGCGGGGAAGGAGGGGAGUCGAGUCAAGGGAUGUACACUCUCGAGCAGCUGAUGCGAGCCUCGGCGGAGCUUCUGGGGAGAGGAUCGGUGGGGAUUACGUACAAGGCGGUGUUUGAUAACCAGCUCAUCGUGACGGUGAAGAGACUAGACGCGGCUAAAACGGCGGUUACAAGCGAAGAGGCGUUCGAGAAUCACAUGGAGAUUGUUGGUGGACUCAGGCACCAGAAUCUUGUUCCGAUUAGAGCUUACUUUCAGUCAAACGGAGAGAGACUCAUCAUCUUCGAUUACCAACCCAAUGGCAGCCUCUUCAAUCUCAUUCACGGUAACUCUUCUAUCUUCCUAGGGUUUUAGUUUUGAACUCAGCGAGUCACCACCGAGUUGAAGAUUUACUUUACUUUACAUUAAUUAAAGAUCAUUAGUUUAAGGUCUUAAUCAAUGAUGACGUGAGAAAUCGUAAGUUGUUUCGACUAUACUUUAUUUUAAAAAACUUAAAACCCUAAAGCGCACGAGUCUUUUCUGUGUGGCGGGUUUUGUGUUUGUGCACAGUUUAGUAGUGAGAACUUGAUGAACUGAAGCUGACCACACAGCGACAAUCGCGGGUCUUACUUUUUGUAAUAAUAUUUAUUUUUUUAAAAAGUUUUUGUUCGUUUGCUCUUUUUUCUUCUGAAGUCUUCGUUGAAAUUACUUAGCAUUAGUGGAAGAAGACAGAAACCUGGUGGAACUCUGUGCUUUUUUCUUCACGUGAAAUCUCAUCUUUUUGCCAUCACUCUGUCUCUACACCUUGCGUUAGUGCCGGACAAAUAUUAAACUAUUUUUUUUUUACAUGCACUUGUUUGAUGAACCUUACGAAUUACAUUAAGAGUGUUUGCUUCUUGCUCCUGUAUUGGACCCAACACCAAAUGUGACUAACUAACUCCAAUAUUUUCACAGGUUCUAGAUCCUCGAGAGCAAAGCCAUUACAUUGGACAUCAUGUUUAAAGAUUGCAGAAGAUGUUGCCCAAGGCUUGUACUACAUUCACCAAACAUCGUCAGCAUUAGUCCAUGGAAACCUUAAAUCAACUAACAUCCUCCUCGGACAUGACUUCGAAGCUUGUUUAACUGAUUACUGCCUCAGCGUCUUAACAGAUUCAUCUUCUUCUUCUAAUGAUGAUGAUCCGGACUCUUCCUCUUACAA